rnacentral:tRNA from 1 species
AGAUUAAUUUGGUAGAGCUUGGUGUUUGCAACACCAGGGUUGUGGGUUCGAUUCCCAC